UAGUCCACGCCGUAAACGAUGGUCACUAGUUGUUGGGGUCUUGUACCUCAGUGAUUAAGAGAAAUUGAUAAGUGACCCACCUGGGGAGUACGAUCGCAAGAUUGAAACUCAAAGGAAUUGACGGGGGCCCGCACAAGCGGUGGAGCAUGUGGUUUAAUUCGAUGAUACGCGAGGAACCUUACCAGGACUUAAAUGUAAGUUGCAUGAUUUAGAGAUAGAUCUUUCUUCGGACUACUUACAAGGUGCUGCAUGGUUGUCGUCAGCUCGUGCCGUGAGGUGUCAGGUUAAGUCCUAUAACGAGCGCAACCCCUACCGUUAGUUGCCAGCAUGUUAUGAUGGGGACUCUAGCGGGACUACCGGUGCAAACCGAGAGGAAGGUGGGGAUGACGUCAAAUCAGCACGGCCCUUAUGUCCAGGGCUACACACGUGUUACAAUGGCCGGUACAAAGGGUAGCCAACCCGCGAGGGGGAGCCGAAUCCCAGAAAGCCUGUCCCAGUUCGGAUUGAAGU
rnacentral:rRNA from 1 species